CCUACGGGAGGCAGCAGUGAGGAAUAUUGGUCAAUGGCCGCAGGGCUGAACCAGCCAAGUCGCGUGAGGGAUGACGGUCCUAUGGAUUGUAAACCUCUUUUGUCAGGGAGCAAAGGGCGCCACGUGUGGCGCUUUGCGAGUACCUGAAGAAAAAGCAUCGGCUAACUCCGGGCCAGCAGCCGCGGUAAUACGGAGGAUGCGAGCGUUAUCCGGUUUUAUUGGGUUUAAAGGGUGCGCAGGCGGAAUGUCAAGUCAGCGGUAAAAUUUCGGGGCUCAACCCCGUCGUGCCGUUGAAACUGGCGUUCUUGAGUGAGCGAGAAGUAUGCGGAAUGCGUGGUGUAGCGGUGAAAUGCAUAGAUAUCACGCAGAACUCCGAUUGCGAAGGCAGCAUACCGGCGCUCAACUGACGCUCAUGCACGAAAGCGUGGGUAUCGAACAGGAUUAGAUACCCUAGUAGUC
rnacentral:rRNA from 1 species